UACUUGGAAGCAAAUGACACAAAGAAUAAGGCUUGCAAAUCAUCAGCUUCUGUCUUGGCAUCUCUCUUAAACAGAAACAAGUUGUCUACAUUAUGCAGGAAUACAAUGAUGCUCUUCAGAGAGCUGAUCGAUUGUCUGUUGCACGAGAAAACUUCCUUAUGGGAAAAAAGAACACUCCUAACUUAGUGACACAGGAAGACCUGACUAUUUACACAAAUUGGUUAGUGUGUCACCUACACUCACUCAAGAUUAUUCACCACUAUGUGCAGGCUCUCCAGUAUUUACCCAUCUCCAAAGCUCUGAGUGUAGCUGUUGACGAAGUCCCUGAGGUUGGUCAGGAAAAUGAAAGUUUCCUGUUGAUGACACUGACCCUGACAUCCAGGGUUCUGCAUCUCCAGACUCUACGAAUGCCAGUGUUUCAGGGCCAAUGAGAACAGAAACUGCUUUCGUUCUGCCCCAACACACAACAGAAACAGAAGAACUGAAACCUCAGCUGAGGCUUCUGCUCUCGCAUUUCAGUAUCUCUUAUGACGUGGAAGAGCUGAGCGAUGCUUCUAAGGAGACAGAACUUUUUGCCUUGGUACUUUAUGGAUUCUUUCUUAAUGCAAAUAUAGGUGUUCAUGAAAGAAAAUACUAGUAUCU
rnacentral:lncRNA from 1 species